UACGUAGGGUCCGAGCGUUGUCCGGAAUUACUGGGCGUAAAGCGCGCGCAGGCGGUCUUCCAAGUCAGUGGUGAAAGCCCGGAGCUCAACUCCGGAACUGCCAUUGAAACUGUUGGACUUGAGGACGAGAGAGGUGAGUGGAAUUCCCAGUGUAGAGGUGAAAUUCGUAGAUAUUGGGAAGAACACCGGUGGCGAAGGCGGCUCACUGGCUCGUUUCUGACGCUCAGGCGCGACAGCGUGGGGAUCAAACAGG
rnacentral:rRNA from 1 species